UACGUGGGGGGCAAGCGUUGUCCGGAAUCAUUGGGCGUAAAGGGUGCGUAGGCGGCGCGGUAAGUCGGGUGUGAAAUCUCGGGGCUUAACUCCGAAACUGCAUUCGAUACUGCCGUGCUUGAGGACUGGAGAGGAGACUGGAAUUUACGGUGUAGCGGUGAAAUGCGUAGAUAUCGUAAGGAAGACCAGUGGCGAAGGCGGGUCUCUGGACAGUUCCUGACGCUGAGGCACGAAGGUCAGGGGAGCAAACGGG
rnacentral:rRNA from 1 species